rnacentral:rRNA from 1 species
GAUGAACGCUGGCGGCGUGCCUAAUACAUGCAAGUCGAGCGAACAGAUGAGGAGCUUGCUCCUCUGACGUUAGCGGCGGACGGGUGAGUAACACGUGGAUAACCUACCUAUAAGACUGGGAUAACUUCGGGAAACCGGAGCUAUUACCGGAUAAUAUAUUGAACCGCAUGGUUCAAUAGUGAAAGACGGUUUUGCUGUCACUUAUAGAUGGAUCCGCGCCGCAUUAGCUAGUUGGUAAGGUAACGGCUUACCAAGGCAACGAUGCGUAGCCGACCUGAGAGGGUGAUCGGCCACACUGGAACUGAGACACGGUCCAGACUCCUACGGGAGGCAGCAGUAGGGAAUCUUCCGCAAUGGGCGAAAGCCUGACGGAGCAACGCCGCGUGAGUGAUGAAGGUCUUCGGAUCGUAAAACUCUGUUAUUAGGGAAGAACAAAUGUGUAAGUAACUAUGCACGUCUUGACGGUACCUAAUCAGAAAGCCACGGCUAACUACGUG